rnacentral:rRNA from 1 species
AUUGAACGCUGGCGGCAUGCCUUACACAUGCAAGUCGAACGGCAGCGCGGGCUUCGGCCUGGCGGCGAGUGGCGGACGGGUGAGUAAUGCAUCGGAACGUGCCCAGGAGUGGGGGAUAACGUAGCGAAAGUUACGCUAAUACCGCAUACGUACUGAGGUAGAAAGCGGGGGAUCGAAAGACCUCGCGCUCAUGGAGCGGCCGAUGUCGGAUUAGCUAGUUGGCGGGGUAAAAGUCCACCAAGGCGACGAUCCGUAGCUGGUCUGAGAGGACGACCGGCCACACUGGGACUGAGACACGGCCCAGACUCCUACGGGAGGCAGCAGUGGGGAAUCUUGGACAAUGGGGGAAACCCUGAUCCAGCAAUGCCGCGUGUGGGAUGAAGGCCCUCGGGUUGCAAACCACUUUUGGCAGGAAAGAAAUCGCCUGUGCUAAUACCACGGGCGGAUGACGGUACCUGCAGAAUAAGCACCGGCUAACUACGUGCCAGCCGCCGCCGUAA